CUAACAAACGCCCGGGUAUUACGAGCCUCAGCUUAAAACCCAAAGGACUUGACGGUGUCCCAUCCAACUAGAGGAGCCUGUUCUAUAAUCGAUAACCCCCGAUACACCUAACCCCUCCUUGCCAAUCAGCCUGUAUACCUCCGUCGCAAACUUACCAUAUGAAUGCCAAUAGUAGGUUAAAUGGUUAUAUCACCAACACGUCAGGUCAAGGUGCAGCUCAUGAUAGGGAAAGCAAUGGGCUACAAUUUCUAAAAUAGAACACACGGAAUGCUGCAUGAAACACAGCCGCGAAGGCGGAUUUAGUAGUAAAAAGAAAAUAAAGUGUCCUUUUUAAUAAGGCCCUGGGACGUGUACACACCGCCCGUCACCCUCUUCAACAGCACACAAUAUGUUCCUAACAACUCUUGCACCUUAGAAGAGGCAAGUCGUAACAUGGUAAGUGUACCGGAAGGUGCACUUGGAUUUACAAAGUAUAGUUUAACAAAACCUCCCGCUUACACCGAGAAUAUAUCUGUGAGAAUCAGAUUACUUUGAGCCUAAAAUUAAGCCUAACCCACCCCCAUGAAAACCACUUCCAACUAAACAACAAUAAAACAUUUUAUCAGUUUAGUAAAGGCGAUUAAAAAACUUCCUAGCGCUUUACUUCUAGUACCGCAAGGGAAAAAUGAAAUAGUUUUGAAACAGCCAUUAAGCAACCUAUAGCAGAGACUACCCCUCGUACCUUUUGCAUCAUGGUUUAGCCAGUCUUUUUCAAGCAAAGCGAAACAUCAGUUUGACCCCCCGAAACUAAGCGAGCUACUUCAAAACAGCUCAAUGGAGCCAACCCGUCUCUGUCGCAAAAGAGUGGGACGAUUUUUAAGUAGAGGUGAAAAGCCUACCGAGCUUAGAGAUAGCUGGUUAUUCAAGAAAAGAAUUUUAGUUCUACCUUAAGUUUCUGUAUUAACCCUAUAAACCACUCAAACUUAAGAGCUAUUCAAAUGAGGCACAGCUUAUUUGAAAAAGGAUACAACCUAUAAAAAAGGGUAAAACCCCCCCCCCAAAAAAAAUAAGUGGGCCUAAAAGCAGCCACCUUUAAGAAAGCGUUAAAGCUUCUUUUUUCCAAAAAAUCUAAUACCAAAACACACCUUUAACCCUUUAUUCCUACUGAAUGAUUCUAUACUCCUAUAGAAGCCCCAAUGCUAAAACUAGUAACAAGAAAUUGACUUUCUCCAAAAUACAAGCAUAGACCAAAAUGGACUAACCAUUGGUUAUUAACGUCAAUUAAUCAAUAUAGCAACUAUAUCAAGAAAACACUAUUAGUUAUUACGUUAACCUUACACAAGUGUAUUUCCGGAAAGAUUUAAAGAGGGGGAAGGAACUCGGCAAAUAAUAACCUCGCCUGUUUACCAAAAACAUCGCCUCUUGAUAAAAUAUAGGAGGUCCAGCCUGCCCAGUGAUAUAAUUAAACGGCCGCGGUACCCUGACCGUGCAAAGGUAGCAUAAUCACUUGUUCUCUAAAUAGGGACUCGUAUCAACGGCAUCACGAGGGUUAUACUGUCUCCCCCCUCUAAUCAGUGAAACUGACCUCCCCGUGAAGAGGCGGGGAUAUUUAUACAAGACGAGAAGACCCCAUGGAGCUUUAAACCCAAUAACAACCUCCACCAAAGUACCCUAAAAAUGAAGAGGCACUGUUUAUUGGUUUUAGGUUGGGGUGACCACGGAGAAAAACUAAACCUCCAUGACGAAUGGACCUUAAGCCUAAUCUAAGAGCCACUACUCCAAGAAUCAUUAAUUUGACAUAAUUUGAUCCGGCAACCGAUCAACGAACCAAGUUACCCUGGGGAUAACAGCGCAAUCCAUUUCAAGAGCCCCUAUCGACAAAUGGGUUUACGACCUCGAUGUUGGAUCAGGGUAUCCCAGUGGUGCAGCCGCUACUAA
rnacentral:misc_RNA from 1 species